AACGAACGCUGGCGGCAGGCCUAACACAUGCAAGUCGAGCGAACCCUUCGGGGUUAGCGGCGGACGGGUUAGUAACGCGUGGGAAUAUACCCUUUGGUACGGAAUAGCCUCGGGAAACUGAGAGUAAUACCGUAUGUGCCCUUCGGGGAAAGAUUUAUCGCCAAAGGAUUAGCCCGCGUUGGAUUAGAUAGUUGGUGGGGUAAUGGCCUACCAAGUCUACGAUCCAUAGCUGGUUUGAGAGGAUGAUCAGCAACACUGGGACUGAGACACGGCCCAGACUCCUACGGGAGGCAGCAGUGGGGAAUCUUAGACAAUGGGCGCAAGCCUGAUCUAGCCAUGCCGCGUGGACGAUGAAGGCCUUAGGGUUGUAAAGUCCUUUCAGAUGGGAAGAUAAUGACGGUACCAUCAGAAGAAGCCCGGCUAACUCCGUG
rnacentral:rRNA from 1 species